rnacentral:lncRNA from 1 species
CAACACCAUCUCCAAUGUCCACUUCAGUAAUUUUUUUAUCUUUUGGAAUCUUCUAAUGUCAUUACUCUCUUUUCUUAUGACAACCUGUCUUCUUCUGCUUUCUUUUCCUCAGCUUUUCUCCUGCAUAAUGUUCAAUCUAUUUUUCAAAUUAAUCAUAAUGUAACCUUUAUCUCUCUCCCUUCUGUACCUGGUAAAAAAGCAGGAUCGAUUAUGAAUAAACCACAAUUAAGUCUAUUCCUUUGUUGAAUAAGGCAUAUCUCAUAUACCUCACAAAUCUAGGUACUUAUAUAUGGUUGUAAAGACGUUUUUGCCCUAAUAAUUCAUUGUCGAUUGUUUUUCUCUUUCUCCUUCCAACAUCCAAGUUUUUCAAAGCUUCGAUAAAAAUUGAUUUCUCUUUUGGUUUAGAAUUUUGAUGAAUUGGAAAAUAAUUGAUCUGAUUUGUGUUUAAGAUUAGAGUUUUUGGGUUCCCUGGACAGUAUCCCUUAGAGUUUAGAUUCCUUCAAUGACAAUUCGUUUGAUUGGAUCCAUGGGAUUUUAGAAAAGAUUGGUGUUGACGGAUAUAACAAUGAUAGAGUAGAAGAAUACGGCGUUAAUGAAGUAAUUGCGGUGGGGAGAACUGAGAAGCAAGGACUGUUGUGGUCGGAAAAAAUUGUGGUGAUGAUGAAGAAGACGAUGAAAGAUGAGAACACAAUCAAUUAGAGAAAGGGGUAAAAUCGUCAUUUUUUAUUUCAACAAGUACUUAUUUUUAUAAGCCCAUUAAAAUGUUCUUUUUCUCUAGUUUUUGGCCCAAUAAGUACCCAAUUCUAUAAUACCCCCUAAAAAAGCAUGUGUUUCAUUUAUGUUUUAAAAACACGAAAUAAAAACUAAAAACUGACAGUUCCUUAUCCCCAUGCAUCUAAAAGAUAGUCUCUUUUUUUUUAUUACUAUCCGUUACUUAUAUGGUUCUAUCUGUCUAGAAAUUUGGUAAUACUAAUCAACUAAAGGGUGUGUGCAAAAAAAAAAAAAAAAAUCAACGAAAGGG